AACGAACGCUGGCGGCAGGCUUAACACAUGCAAGUCGAGCGCCGUAGCAAUACGGAGCGGCAGACGGGUGAGUAACGCGUGGGAACAUACCCUCCGGUUCGGAAUAACUCAGGGAAACUUGAGCUAAUACCGGAUACGGCUUAGCGGCGAAAGAUUUAUCUCCGGAGGAUUGGCCCGCGUCCGAUUAGCUAGUUGGUGUGGCAAUGGCGCACCAAGGCGACGAUCGGUAGCUGGUCUGAGAGGAUGAUCAGCCACAUUGGGACUGAGACACGGCCCAAACUCCUACGGGAGGCAGCAGCGGGGAAUAUUGGACAAUGGGCGCAAGCCUGAUCCAGCCAUGCCGCGUGGGUGAUGAAGGCCCUAGGGUUGUAAAGCCCUUUCGGCGGGGAAGAUAAUGACGGUACCCGCAGAAGAAGCCCCGGCUAACUUCGUGCCAGCAGCCGCGGUAAUACGAAGGGGGCUAGCGUUGCUCGGAAUCACUGGGCGUAAAGCGCACGUAGGCGGCUUUUUAAGUCAGGGGUGAAAUCCUGGAGCUCAACUCCAGAACUGCCUUUGAUACUGAGAAGCUUGAGUCCGGGAGAGGUGAGUGGAACUGCGAGUGUAGAGGUGAAAUUCGUAGAUAUUCGCAAGAACACCAGUGGCGAAGGCGGCUCACUGGCCCGGUACUGACGCUGAGGUGCGAAAGCGUGGGGAGCAAACAGGAUUAGAUACCCUGGUAGUCCACGCCGUAAACGAUGGAUGCUAGCCGUUGUCGGGUUUACUCGUCAGUGGCGCAGCUAACGCAUUAAGCAUCCCGCCUGGGGAGUACGGUCGCAAGAUUA
rnacentral:rRNA from 1 species